rnacentral:lncRNA from 12 species
AUGGUUCCUGCGCUUUCCUUACUACAGAAGGGAGUGGAGGCAGACGAGAAAGCAUGUGAAUUCUAUCCAUUGAUCACCGGGGGAUACGGUUUCACGGGCGAGCGAGCGAGCGAGCGGAGGGCCCCGGGGUUCUCUUCAGCAGCAGCUCCUCCUCUCGCGUCCAGAGCCCUGGAGGCCUGGUGCGCGGUGCCGCUGUUGCCCAGGCCACUUCAGCCACGGGACCUGUGCACGGGCUGGGUUUGCACAAGCUCCCACAAAACAAAUCUUCCCUGCCAUCUUUCUCUCCCAUUGCACGAGGAACUUCCCGGUGCAAUAAGGCGUCAGACUUCAGCAGGGCUGGCCCGCCUUCGCCGGAAGCGCUUAACCCCGCACCUGACCCAGACUGCGGCCCGGCCCGCAGCCUCCCGGCCGCUAACUCGCCGUCCUGCAACUCCCGCCCGCGGGAGCUGCGCCCCGGGUGCGGGCGGUCCCCGGGGCCGAGACCACUCCCUUCCGGAGCCGCCGCGCCGCCCGCCCUUCAGGGAGGGGCGUGCACCGCCAGGCCGGCCGCGGCGCCGCUCGGCGCGGGGACUUCAAACCCGGGCGCGGGAGCGCGGGAGGGGCGCGGGAGGGGCGCGGGAGGGGCGCGGGAGCCGCAGCCACCCUCGCCGCUCGCCCGCGCGGCCCCGAGAGGAAACGGGCGGUGCCGCCCGGGUCGCCCCCUUCCCCGCCCCUCCUCCCGCCCCAACGGGCCGCGGACCUGACUUCCCCAAACUCCGCAGAGGGAAGCCCUGCCCGGGCCGGCACCUCGGGGCGGCGCGCGCCGGGGACGGAAGUGGGGGGAGCCGUGGCCGCGCCGCGCCUUUGUUAGGGCUCGGGACCCCGCGGGCCCCGGCGAGCACCCCGCCGCCGCCGCCGCCGCCGCCGCCGCCCGGGACGGGACGGGACGCGGCGGGAAGGGGCGGGAAGGGGCGGGGCGGGGCGGCCCGGGGCCGGAGUGGCGGCGGCCCCGAGGAGGGCGCGCGGCGGCGCGUCCCGGGGUCCGCCUGCCCCGGGGCCGCCGCGCCUGGGGACGUUCCUCACCUUCCUGCGCCUCCCCGGGCCGCGGGCUGGCCCAAGCGCGGCUUCCCGCGGGACAGCGGCGGGCGGCCCCAGCUUCUCGGCAGCGCCACGGCCACAACCCGCCUCGCUGAGGCGAGAGAGCGCGGUCCCUCCUCGCGG